rnacentral:tRNA from 1 species
GCGCGGGUGCUGUAACUGGUAGCCAGGCUAGCUUGAGGUGCUAGUGUCCGCAAGGACGUGGAGGUUCAAAUCCUCUCCCGCGCACCA